AUAGGGCCCCAGGCAGAAUCUGAUGUGGGAGCUGACUUGCAGAUCUAAUGAUGAUAAUUUUACACAACUCAAGUGAAAGCUUUUCUUCAGCCACUCGACGCCAAGAAACAAGCUUGAGAUCAUCACAAUCCUUUGUUAAACAGAGAUUUUCAUGGUUUCCAGAUUGCAAACAGGAACAGAACAUCC